UCUAGUAAUGAUGGCAAAGAGGUCACACCUGUUCCCAUGUCGAACACAGAAGUUAAGCUCUUUAGCGCCAAUGGUAGUUGGGGGCUGUCCCCCUGCGAGAGUAGGACGUUGCUAGGC
rnacentral:rRNA from 1 species